rnacentral:rRNA from 1 species
GAUCAUGGCUCAGGACGAACGCUGGCGGCGUGCCUAACACGUGCAAGUCGAACGGGGCUAGGAAAGCUUGCUUUCCGAAGCCUAGUGGCGGACGGGUGAGUAACGCGUGAGUAACCUGCCUUUCAGAGGGGAAUAACGUUCUGAAAAGAACGCUAAUACCGCAUAACGUACAGUUACCGCAUGGUAGCAGUACCAAAGGAGCAAUCCGCUGAAAGAUGGACUCGCGUCCGAUUAGCUAGUUGGUGGGGUAAAGGCCU